UGAUUGAGGUGUUUAGAUGCAUAUUGGAGUCUAGGUGAAGCUAAUUAAAGUCAUUGAAGUCCAUCUUCCCAUGUUUAAGCAAAGAAGGGACUAAUUUGAAUGAAUGAGGUACAAAGGUAUAAAAUUGAAUCCCGAAGGAGUGGAUUUGAGAGUUUGAGUUGUACCUUUACACAUUGGAGUGUACAAGGGACUUAUUUAAUUGGUUGUAGUAUACACUUCCAUGAGAAAGCCUUGAUGGGAUUGAUUUGAA
rnacentral:lncRNA from 1 species